AGCUUUGUGCAGUGGCAGUAUUACAGCUAAUGAGGUUUAUCCGAGGCACGAUUAUUGCUAAUUGAAAACUAACCAAAAAGAUAGCAUGUACCAUAAAAAGAGGUUAAAGUUCCUUAGGAUGCUUUUCUGAAGUGUUUUAAUAAUA